UGCCAAGUUCAAGCCGUUAAAUGGUGAGACUGCGAAUGGCUCAGUAAAUCAGUUAUUAUGUAAUCGAUUCAUGCUGUGUGUAAAUAACGCAGAUUUUCGGAUAACUGUGGUAACUCUAGAGCUAAUACGUGUAUAGACGGGUUGUACUCCAACCCGUUGGCAUUUAUUUGUCCCUAGUGUGUUUGUCACAUGCUAGCCAACAUGCGUCUUCCCUCGGGGAGGCGUAUAAAAUUAGAUGAAUCAAAAUAACUGAUUGCUGAUCGAUUAAGGACUCUGUUCCUUCGAUAUAUCGAAUCAAUUUCUGCCCCAUCAAUUAGUUGGUUGGGUAGUGGCCAACCAAGGUAUCGACGGGUAACGGGGAAUCAGGGUUUGAUUCCGGAGAGGGAGCCUGAGAAACGGCUACCACAUCCAAGGGUGGCAGCAGGCGCGCAAAUUAUCCAAUCCAGAUAAUGGGAGAUAGCGACAAGACAUACCAGGAGUGACCUUAUUUAAGGUCAAUCACUGGAAUGGAUGCAAUUUAAACACCUCAAUGAGGAACUACUGGAGGGCAAGUCUGGUGCCAGCAGCCGCGGUAAUACCGGCUCCAGUGGUGUAUCGCAUUGUUGCUGCGGUUAAAACGCUCGUAGUUUGAUAGCAGUAUGUAUGCCGGCUGUAGCAUUACUUGUUGUUUUAAAUGUGCAUAUGAUAAGUGUGUAUAGCAUCACCUCGGUGGUGUUGUGCAUCGCUUUGAGUGUGUGAGUUUAAAAAUGACAUAAUGUAUCGUGGGUACGCGGUUUAUAUCCUUACCAGGAUGUUACCGUGAUAACCACUACGGUUUCUAAAAAGGGUAUGUUUGUGAGGAGUUAUGCAGUGUAAUGUUGAUUUACGAAUGAGCAUUGCCCAUAUCUUCCACAGGCAUACCUGGUGUUUAUCCCUCAUCAUUUUCAUAUAUACUAAUUCUAUAUAUGGCAAUAUGGGGUGAUAUUGGUAUACGUACUUAAAUCCCCAGGAUUGGUCAUCAACUGGAGUGGUGGUGAUCAAAGUAUACCUGUGGAAAGAUUGCCUUGAAUAAAAUAGAGUGCUCAAAGCAUGCUUGUGCUCGAAUAUGCUAGCACGGAACGAAUGUAUCCUAACCACCCCGUUGGGUGUAUUGCAGGAUUAGUUGGUCUGCACACCUAUGUGGGUAUCGGUUAAUAGGGACAUUUGGGGGCAUUGAUACUUGGCCGCGAGAGGUGAAAUUCUAAGACCGGCUAAAGAUCGACAAUUGCGAAAGCAUUUGCCAAGAAUGUUUUCAUUAAUCAAGAGCGAAAGUUGAAGGAUCAAAAUUGAUUAGAUACCAAUGUAGUUUCACACUGCUAAUUUUGCCAUCCUGGAUUUGAUCUUUACACUGUUUAUGUGAAAGAACAGAUCCACCGGGAAACCUGAAGUUUUUGGGUUCCGGGGGGAGUAUGGUCGCAAGGCUGAAACUUAAAGGAAUUGACGGAAGGGCACCACCAGGAGUGGAGCCUGCGGCUUAAUUUGACUCAACACGGGGAAUCUCACCAGGUCCGGACAUUGGCAGGAUUGACAGAAUGACAGAUCUUUCAUGAUUUGGUGGAUGGUGGUGCAUGGCCGCUCUUAGUUGGUGGAGCGAUCUGUCAGGUCAAUUCCGGUAACGAGCGAGAUCAAUUUCUCUAUUUUGGUCGUCUUGAUAACUGCGUUCAUGUUAUCGUAUGUGUGAUUCUCGCUUCAAAAUAACAAGUAUGUGUGGCCCCGGUUGCAUGUACUUGUUAGUAUGUUGUGAGAGUCCACAUAUGAUGUGAUCGUUUGUGUCAGGUCACCUUCAUAGAGAGACAACCGGUGUUUUUCUUAACCGGUGGAAGUGUGGCCAUAGCAGGUCUGUUAUGCCCUUAGAUGUUCUGGGCUGCACGCGUGCUACAAUGGAGGCGCCAGCGAGUUUAACCUUACCGAAAGGUACGGGUAAUCUUGUGAAUCGCCUUCGUGAUGGGGAUUGAGCUUUGAAAUUAUCGCUCAUGAACCUGGAAUUUCCUCGUAAGUAC
rnacentral:rRNA from 1 species